rnacentral:rRNA from 1 species
GACGAACGCUGGCGGCGUGCCUAACACAUGCAAGUCGAGCGAAUGAAGUUCCUUCGGGAACGGAUUUAGCGGCGGACGGGUGAGUAACACGUGGGCAACCUGCCUCAUAGAGGAGAAUAGCCUUCCGAAAGGGAGAUUAAUACCGCAUAAGAUUGUAGUACCGCAUGGUACAGCAAUUAAAGGAGCAAUCCGCUAUGAGAUGGGCCCGCGGCGCAUUAGCUAGUUGGUGGGGUAACGGCUGACCAAGGCGACGAUGCGUAGCCGACCUGAGAGGGGGAUCGGCCACAUUGGGACUGAGACACGACCCAGACUCCUACGGGAGGCAGCAGUGGGGAAUAUUGCACAAUGGGGGAAACCCUGAUGCAGCAAAGCCGCGUGAGUGAUGACGGCCUUCGGGUUGUAAAGCUCUGUCUUCAGGGACGAUAAUUACGGUACCUGAGGAGGAAGCCACGGCUAACUACGUGCCAGCAGCCGCCGUAA